AUUGCGUUUCGAUUCGUGUUUGAUUCGAGUUUGGUUGGUAUUAUUAAAUUAAAUAAGUUAACCGUGUAUUUUUUUUAUUAUUCAAAGAAAAAGAAAAAUAAAUAUGCCUUUAACAUCCAUGCCCACCAUGUUUUAUUUGUGGCCCAUUUAAUUCCUAUUUGGCCAAAUUCUAGCCCAUUUGUUCUUUCAUCCAUGCACAGGUCUACCAAAUUUAGAACAUCAGCAAGUUUUCUUCUCUUUAAUUCUUAAAUAUUUAAUUUCUUUAAAUCCUAUUUAAAUUUCUAUUUGUGGCCCAUUUUAAACAAACAAUCAUUCCUCACACUUUCACAAAACCCUAGCCGUCAUUCUCCAUCAAGUUCUCUGAAAAUUCACCCUCAUAUUCCUCUGAAAUCCCGCGUUAUAUUUGGAUCCGUUUCGUCCUAGUUGAAGUAGACUCACGCCUCUAUGAUUCUCAACUUCGUUUUUGCCAAACGACCCGUCGACUGCUCGUGCUUCGGAGUCUACGCAGGGUUAGCUGUUUGCCAAGAUCACGUGGAUAAGCAAGCAGUUUAUUAUUUUGAGCGAGUCUGCAGAUCUCCGAAUCUUUAUUCCUCGGAGGUUUAUUUGAUUGGUGGUUUUCCGCAAGGCUUGCUACGGGUUUUGGUACAACCAUACCCAUACCCUAGCGCCGGUCGCGAUCCAUGAAAUUGGGUCGUGACAAAGUUGGUAUCAGAGCCUGGUUUCGAACUAAGGCCAAAUUUUGCAUGUUAUGUGUUAUCGCUUAAGGGCAUGCUAAGUGUUAUUGUAGUGUCAUAGGAUCUACUGCGGAAUUAGGAUUCAUGUCUUGUCUUUAAAACGUCAUCUUUUGAUUUUAAAACUUUCUGCCUACACCGAUAGGAUUGUGUCGAGUAGGUCAUUUUAUGUCUUGAUUUGAUGCUAAUAUUUUGUUGUUGAUGCUCUUUCACUUGGGUGAUUUUAAUUGCAUUGGAUUUCUCGGGAAGUCUUAUAUUGAUAGUUUGCUUUAAUUCAUGCUUGAGCAUGAUAUUGUUGUCCUUACCUUGAUGAUGUUUCUUUUCACUUGGUUGAUAUAUUUUGGCUGUAUGCCCAUAAUGAUGUUGUUUACUCUAAAUUAUUUGUUAGUAUUUCUGACUCUAUCCGUGAGCUUUGAUUUCAAAAAAAAUUCAUAACUUAUCAGUCUUUGACAUUGGUUCGGGUUUAAAUGAUUUUUGACUGAUUUGUUUUUAUUAUCACGUUUUGUGGAUUACAUUGCUGACAACGUAUCAGUUUUAAAUUUCUUAAGAAAAUUAUUUUUGGCCUAACUGGUGUUUGACACAAAAAGUCAAAUGGGUAGUCUGGACACGACACCCUAAAAUAUUUUUUUCAGUAUCUUGCCAGUAAAAUGAAAUCUGUUUAUUUCAAAGUUUUACAUUUGACUUAGGAUUUAAAAAGGGUUGUUCAUUUGAAAUAAAAUGAAAUUCUAGUAUUUUAAAAAUUAAAAUGUUACGUCUAGCUAGGUAUUUUCAAAUGAUUGUUUGGAAAUAAAAGUUAUUUUGAAAGGUGUUAUAGUUUUGGCAAUUUAGUGUUACUUUUGUAAUUUUAUCAUAUUUUGGUUUGUCAACACUUAGGUGUUGUUAGUCUUAUGCUCGAUUUGCUAGUAUCGACCGAAGUAUGGGUUUUCAAAAAGAUUGUUAAAGAAAAAUUAUUUUCUCACUUGGGUGAUGUGUUGAUGUUGUCAUUUGGGUGACGUCGAGCUUCUUACUUUUUGAUAAUAUUGAGAUUUGUUUUGAAAUGCGUUUUUCCGAAUUUGAAAAUGUUCUGUAUACAUUUUACACAUGGUAAUUGCGGGUUUGACUUGAGUCACCCAAAUUGGGAGUUGAACUUGGAAGUGGUAGUCACUCGGCUAACUCGACGAUUUUAAUUUGGGGCGUUUGGGAACAAUUAUAUCUAAUGUUUUAUAAAAGAGGUUUUCUGGAAAAUGAAUUUUAACACUGUGGGGCUCGACAUAAACUUGAAACCUAUUUUGUAAAUACUAUCUUUCGAAAUUGGUUUUAAUGCGUACUUUUGAUCAGUAUCACAAUUCGUUUUAUUCUGAGUUGACGUUUUGAACAUAUUAUUACACGAUAUAAUAUUUUAAUUGUUGUUGGGCUAUUUAAGAUUACUGCCAUGUCGGUAGGAAUUCGUGGAUCAUAUAAGAUGUUGUGUGCUUAACCUUUUGAAAUUAUUUUGGUUAUCUACCCUAAUGAGUAGUUGUUUUACUGCAAGAUGCUUUAGUGCUUUUCGGUUGUGUGAUUAAUUCUUGAUCUAUAUUACUAUGUUAUUAUUAUUGUAUCUCGUGCUUGAUUAAGUUAAGCCAUAUCAGUUUUUGUCCUCGUUGACCUCAUUGUGUGGAGUAACACGUGAGAGUAUUCCUAGCUAGUUUCCUUUGGCUUAAUUUUGGCAUUGGUGUCGAUGUGCGAUUCGAACCUUCGUUUUCUUUUAUCAUGCGAUUAGUUUUGAUGUUAUAAUUGUUUUAGCCGGAUCUAGCGUUUGACCCUGGAAAUCGAAGUGAUUGAUUUUCUUAUCAAUAAAUUUGAGGAGCGAUUCUCAAGAGCUGUUCGCAGAUUCGAAUCCCGAAACUGUCCUGGUCGGAGGAAGGCGAAUUAAUUAUAUUACUCAGCACCGGUGGA